UGGGAAUGGCACUGGGAGCACUGGGAAUGGGACUGGGAGCACUGGGAAUGGCACUGGGAACACUGGGAAUGGGACUGGGAGCACUGGGAGCACUGGGAAUGGACUGGGAGCACUGGGAAUGGGACUGGGAAUGGCACUGGGAGCACUGGGAAUGGACUGGGAAUGGACUGGGAAUGGACUGGGAGCACUGGGAAUGGAGCACUGGGAAUGGACUGGGAGCACUGGGAAUGGAGCACUGGGAAUGGGACUGGGAAUGGACUGGGAAUGGACUGGGAGCACUGGGAAUGGACUGGGAAUGGACUGGGAGCACUGGGAAUGGAGCACUGGGAAUGGGACUGGGAAUGCACUGGGAAUGGACUGGGAGCACUGGGAAUGGAGCACUGGGAAUGGGACUGGGAAUGGCACUGGGAGCACUGGGAGCACUGGGAGCACUGGGAAUGGACUGGGAGCACUGGGAAUGGCACUGGGAUUAAUGGGACUGGGAGCACUGGGAAUGGCACUGGGAGCACUGGGAGCACUGGGAGCACUGGGAGCACUGGGAAUGGGACUGGGAGCACUGGGAAUUCCGGACCCACCUUGCCUGAAGCCUGGGCAGAUUCCCGAGGGUUUUUCCCAGGGUAUUUCCCAGGUUUUUCCCAGGGUAUUUCCCAGGUUUUUCCUUGGAAUUUUCCCGGGUUUUUCCCAGGGUAUUUCCCGUGUUUUUCCCAGGGUAUUUCCCAGGUUUUUCCUUGGAAUUUUCCCGUGUUUUUCCCAGGGUAUUUCCCAUGGUUUUCCCGUGUUUUUCCCAGGGUAUUUCCCGUGUUUUUCCCGUGUUUUCCCGUGUUUUUCCCGGAAUUCCGGACCCACCUGUGCCGAAGGCGCCGAUGCUGCCCCGCAGCCCCUCCAGGUCGCAGCCGAAGCGCCCGGC
rnacentral:lncRNA from 1 species